GAUGAAGAACGUAGCGAAAUGCGAUACCUGGUGUGAAUUGCAGAAUCCCGCGAACCAUCGAGUCUUUGAACGCAAGUUGCGCCCGAGGCCACCCGGCCGAGGGCACGCCUGCCUGGGCGUCACGCCAAAACACGCUCCCACCCCCCCUCACCGGGGGAGCGGGACGCGGCGUCUGGCCCCCCGUGCCGCGAGGCGCGGUGGGCCGAAGAUCGGGCUGCCGGCGUACCGUGUCGGGCACAGCGCGUGGUGGAUCUCUACUCGGCGCAGUGCACCCGGCGCGUAGCCGGCGCAGCGGCCCCUAAGGACCCAACGAACGGAGCGCGAGCCGCUCCGACCGCGACCCCAGGUCAGGCGGGACUACCCGCUGAGUUUAAGCAUAUCAAUAAGCGGAGGA
rnacentral:misc_RNA from 1 species